UGGGGAAUAUUGCACAAUGGGCGAAAGCCUGAUGCAGCAACGCCGCGUGAGUGAUGAAGGUCUUCGGAUUGUAAAGCUCUGUCUUUUGGGACGAUAAUGACGGUACCAAAGGAGGAAGCCACGGCUAACUACGUGCCAGCAGCCGCGGUAAUACGUAGGUGGCGAGCGUUGUCCGGAUUUACUGGGCGUAAAGGGUGCGUAGGCGGAUGUUUAAGUGAGAUGUGAAAUACCCGGGCUUAACUUGGGUGCUGCAUUUCCAAACUGGAUAUCUAGAGUGCAGGAGAGGAGAA
rnacentral:rRNA from 1 species